CAUAGGUUAAUGAGGCGAACCGGGGGAACUGAAACAUCUAAGUACCCCGAGGAAAAGAAAUCAACCGAGAUUCCCCCAGUAGCGGCGAGCGAACGGGGAGCAGCCCAGAGCCUGAAUCAGUGUGUGUGUUAGUGGAAGCGUCUGGAAAGGCGCGCGAUACAGGGUGACAGCCCCGUACACAAAAAUGCACAUGCUGUGAGCUCGAUGAGUAGGGCGGGACACGUGGU
rnacentral:rRNA from 1 species